rnacentral:rRNA from 1 species
CACCGGCAGCCCGAGUGGUGAUCACUAUUAUUGGGUCUAAAGGGUCCGUAGCCGGUUUAAUCAGUCUUCUGGGAAAUCUAAUCGCUUAACUAUUAGGCUUCCAGGGGAUACUGUUAGACUUGGGACCGGGAGAGGUAAGAGGUACUGCAGGGGUAGGAGUGAAAUCUUGUAAUCCCUGUGAGACCACCAGUGGCGAAGGCGUCUUACCAGAACGGGUCCGACGGUGAGGGACGAAAGCUGGGGGCACGAACCGGAUUAGAUACCCGGGUAGUCCCAGCUGUAAACGAUGCUCGUUAGGUGUCAGGAACGGUGCGACUGUUUCUGGUGCCGAAGGGAAGCCGUGAAACGAGCCACCUGGGAAGUACGGCCGCAAGGCUGAAACUUAAAGGAAUUGGCGGGGGAGCACUACAACGGGUGGAGCCUGCGGUUUAAUUGGACUCAACGCCGGAAAACUCACCGGGGGCGACAGCAAUAUGUAGGUCAGGUUAAAGGUCUUACCUGAAUCGCUGAGUGGAGGUGCAUGGCCGUCGUCAGUUCGUACUGUGAAGCAUCCUGUUAAGUCAGGCAACGAGCAAGACCCGUGCCCACCGUUACCAGCAUAUCCUUUAUGGAUGAUGGGGACUCUGUGGGGACCGCUGCUGCUAAAGCAGAGGAAGGUGCGGGCUACGGUAGGUCAGUAUGCCCCGAAUCUCCCGGGCUACACGCGGGCUACAAUGGUUGGGACAAUGGGUAUCUACUCCGAAAGGAGUUGGCAAUCUCUUAAACCCAAUCGUAGUUCGAAUUGAGGGCUGUAACUCGCCCUCAUGAAGCUGGAAUCCGUAGUAAUCGCGUUUCAACAUAGCGCGG